GACGAACGCUGGCGGCGUGCUUAACACAUGCAAGUCGAACGGAAAGGCCCUUCGGGGUACUCGAGUAGCGAACGGGUGAGUAACACGUGGGUGAUCUGCCCUGCACUUUGGGAUAAGCCUGGGAAACUGGGUCUAAUACCGAAUAGGACCGCGCGCUUCAUGGUGUGUGGUGGAAAGCUUUUGCGGUGUGGGAUGGGCCCGCGGCCUAUCAGCUUGUUGGUGGGGUAAUGGCCUACCAAGGCGACGACGGGUAGCCGGCCUGAGAGGGUGACCGGCCACACUGGGACUGAGAUACGGCCCAGACUCCUACGGGAGGCAGCAGUGGGGAAUAUUGCACAAUGGGCGCAAGCCUGAUGCAGCGACGCCGCGUGAGGGAUGACGGCCUUCGGGUGGUAAACCUCUUUCACCAGGGACGAAGCGCAAGUGACGGUACCUGGAGAAGAAGCACCGGCCAACUACGU
rnacentral:rRNA from 1 species